ACGAACGCUGGCGGCGUGCUUAACACAUGCAAGUCGAACGGAAAGGCCCUGCUUUUGUGGGGUGCUCGAGUGGCGAACGGGUGAGUAACACGUGAGUAACCUGCCCUUGACUUUGGGAUAACUUCAGGAAACUGGGGCUAAUACCGGAUAGGAGCUCUUGCUGCAUGGUGGGGGUUGGAAAGUUUCGGCGGUUGGGGAUGGACUCGCGGCUUAUCAGCUUGUUGGUGGGGUAGUGGCUUACCAAGGCUUUGACGGGUAGCCGGCCUGAGAGGGUGACCGGCCACAUUGGGACUGAGAUACGGCCCAGCCUCCUACGGGAGGCAGCAGUGGGGAAUAUUGCACAAUGGGCGGAAGCCUGAUGCAGCAACGCCGCGUGCGGGAUGACGGCCUUCGGGUUGUAAACCGCUUUCGCCUGUGACGAAGCGUGAGUGACGGUAAUGGGUAAAGAAGCACCGGCUAACUACGUG
rnacentral:rRNA from 1 species